CUUUUUCUUCGAUUAGAACUCUAAGAAAAAAUUACGCUGUUAUCCCUAAGGUAAUUUUUCUUUUAAUCUUUAAAAAAGGAUCAAAUUAAUCAUUUAUCUAUGAAAUUCAAAAUAAAAAAAAGUUAAUUAAAUUUUUCAAUCACCCCAAUUAAAUACUUUAAAUUUAAUGUAAAAUUUAUAAUAUAUUAAAUUAUAUUAUAUUUUCUAUAUUUUUAACUUUUAAAAUAAAAUAUUAAACUCUAUAGGGUCUUCUCGUCUUUUAUAAAAAUUUAAGCUUUUUAACUUAAAAAUAAAAUUCAAAAUAUUUAAAUUGAGACAGUUAUUUUUUCAUCAAACCUUUCAUUCCAGCUUUCAAUUAAAAAACUAAUGAUUAUGCUACCUUAGCACAGUCAAAAUACUGCGGCCGUUAAA
rnacentral:rRNA from 1 species